UACGUAGGUGACCAGCGUUGUCCGGAUUUACUGGGCGUAAAGAGCGCGCAGGCGGUCGUUCAAGUCGAGUGUGAAAGCCCCCGGCUCAACUGGGGAGGGUCAUUCGAUACUGAUCGACUGGAAGGCAGGAGAGGGAAGCGGAAUUCCCGGUGUAGUGGUGAAAUGCGUAGAUAUCGGGAGGAACACCAGUGGCGAAGGCGGCUCACUGGGACGGUAUUGACGCUGAGGAGCGAAAGCGUGGGUAGCAAACAGG
rnacentral:rRNA from 1 species